AGCAGCCGCGGUAAUUCCAACUCCAAUAGCGUAUAUUAAAGUUGUUGCAGUUAAAAAGCUCGUAGUUGAAUUUCGGGAUCAAUGUGUUGGUCGUGCCUUGGUACGUACUGGCAUUAUCGAUUCCUACCUUCUGAAGAACCUCGAUGUCAUUAAUUUGGUGUCUUGGGGAAUCAGGACUGUUACUUUGAAAAAAUUAGAGUGUUUAAAGCAGGCUCGCGCUUGAAUACAUUAGCAUGGAAUAAUGAAAUAGGACGUUUGAUUCUAUUUUGUUGGUUUCUAGGAUCGACGUAAUGAUUAAUAGGGAUAGUUGGGGGCAUUAGUAUUCAAUUGUCAGAGGUGAAAUUCUUGGAUUUAUUGAAGACUAACUACUGCGAAAGCAUUUGCCAAGGAUGUUUUCAUUAAUCAAGAACGAAAGUUAGGGGAUCGAAGACGAUCAGAUACCGUCGUAGUCUUAACCAUAAACUAUGCCGACUAGGGAUCGGAUGAUGUUAAUUUUUAAUGACUCAUUCGGCGCCUUACG
rnacentral:rRNA from 1 species